GGUGCGAGUAGAGCGGCGGACGGGUGAGUAACGCGUAGGAAUCUACCUAGUAGAAGGGGAUAGCCCGAGGAAACUCGGAUUAAUACCGUAUACCUCCUUAGGGAGAAAGAGGGCUUAGCUUUGAUGCUCUCGCUAUUAGAUGAGCCUGCGUAAGAUUAGCUUGUUGGUGAGGUAAUGGCUCACCAAGGCGACGAUCUUUAACUGGUCUGAGAGGACGAUCAGCCACAUUGGGACUGAGACACGGCCCAGACUCCUACGGGAGGCAGCAGUGGGGAAUAUUGGACAAUGGGCGCAAGCCUGAUCCAGCCGUACCGCGUGUGUGAAGAAGGCUUUCGGGUUGUAAAGCACUUUAAGUAAGGAGAAAAAGAUUGUAGUUAAUACCUGCAAUCCUUGAUGUUACUUACAGAAUAAGGACCGGCUAAUUCCGUGCCAGCAGCCGCGGUAAUACGGAAGGUCCAAGCGUUAAUCGGAAUUACUGGGCGUAAAGCGCGCGUAGGUGGUUUUUUAAGUUGGAUGUGAAAGCCCUGGGCUCAACCUAGGAACUGCAUCCAAAACUAGAUGACUAGAGUACGAAAGAGGGAAGUAGAAUUCACAGUGUAGCGGUGGAAUGCGUAGAUAUUGUGAAGAAUACCAAUGGCGAAGGCAGCUUCCUGGUUCUGUACUGACACUAAGGUGCGAAAGCGUGGGUAGCGAACAGGAUUAGAUACCCUGGUAGUCCACGCCGUANACGAUGACAACUAGCUGUUGGGAGACUAGAUCUCUCAGUGGCGCAGCUAACGCUUUAAGUUGUCCGCCUGGGGAGUACGGCCGCAAGGCUAAAACUCAAAUGAAUUGACGGGGACCCGCACAAGCGGUGGAGCAUGUGGUUUAAUUCGA
rnacentral:rRNA from 1 species